AUUGAACGCUGGCGGCAGGCCUAACACAUGCAAGUCGAGCGGGGUUUUCGGACCUAGCGGCGGACGGGUGAGUAAUGCGUAGGAAGCUACCCGAUAGAGGGGGAUACCAGUUGGAAACGACUGUUAAUACCGAAUAAGGUCUACGGACCAAAGUGUGGGACCUUCGGGCCACAUGCUAUCGGAUGCGCCUACGUGGGAUUAGCUAGUUGGUGGGGUAAUGGCUCAACAAGGCGACGAUCCCUAGCGGGUUUGAGGGGAUGAUCAGCCACACUGGAACUGAGACACGGUCCAGACUCCUACGGGAGGCAGCAGUGGGGAAUAUUGGACAAUGGGCGCAAGCCUGAUCCAGCCAUGCCGCGUGUGUGAAGAAGGCCUUCGGGUUGUAAAGCACUUUCAGUAGGGAGGAAGGGUGAUGUGUUAAUAGCACAGCAUUUUGACGUUACCUACAGAAGAAGCACCGGCUAACUCUGUGCCAGCCGCCGCCGUAAUAC
rnacentral:rRNA from 1 species